AGAGCGAACGCUGGCGGCAUGCUUAACACAUGCAAGUCGCACGGGCAGGGGUAACCCUGUCAGUGGCGGACGGGUGAGUAACGCGUAGGUAUCUAUCCUUGGGUGGGGGACAACUGUGGGAAACUACAGCUAAUACCGCAUGAUAACUGAGGUUUAAAGGCGCAAGUCGCCUGAGGAGGAGCCUGCGUACGAUUAGCUAGUUGGUGGGGUAAAGGCCUACCAAGGCUGUGAUCGUUAGCUGGUCUGAGAGGAUGAUCAGCCACAUUGGGACUGAGACACGGCCCAAACUCCUACGGGAGGCAGCAGUGGGGAAUAUUGGACAAUGGGCGAAAGCCUGAUCCAGCAAUGCCGCGUGUGUGAAGAAGGUCUUCGGAUUGUAAAGCACUUUCGACGGGGACGAUGAUGACGGUACCCGUAGAAGAAGCCCCGGCUAACUUCGCGCCAGCAGCCGC
rnacentral:rRNA from 1 species